CUCCCUUUAGUUUUAUUAUAUUCUUGAUUAUAUAAUAGAUAAAUCUGACAACUAUGUGACUAACUACUACUCCCUAACAAUAUUCGAUUCAAUGCCCUAACUAUAGGCUUUAUCAAAAAGGAAAGUCUUAAGCAUACUCUUAAAUGUGGAGACGGUGUCUGCCUCCCGGACCCAAACUGGAACCUGGUUCCAAAGGAAAGGAGCCUGAUAACUGAACGCUCUAGCUCCCGUUCUACUUUUAGAGACUCUAGGAACCACCAAUAACCCUGCAUUCUGGGAGCGUAGUGCUCUUGUAGGACAAGAGGGUAUUUAGGAGAG